GAUGAACGCUAGCGGCAGGCUUAACACAUGCAAGUCGAGGGGUAGAAGUCUUCGGACUUUGAGACCGGCGCACGGGUGCGUAAACGCGUAUGCAAUCUGCCUUGUACAAAGGGAUAGCCCAGAGAAAAUUUGGAUUAAUACCUUAUAGUAUAUUGAUGUGGCAUCACAUUAAUAUUAAAGAUUUAUCGGUACAAGAUGAGCAUGCGUCCCAUUAGCUAGUUGGUAUGGUAACGGCAUACCAAGGCAAUGAUGGGUAGGGGUCCUGAGAGGGGAGAUCCCCCACACUGGUACUGAGACACGGACCAGACUCCUACGGGAGGCAGCAGUGAGGAAUAUUGGUCAAUGGCGCAAGCCUGAACCAGCCAUGCCGCGUGCAGGAUGACGGUCCUAUGGAUU
rnacentral:rRNA from 1 species